AAACUUGCUGCUUUGUAAAAUAAUUUUGCAUUGACUCAGAGGGGAAACAGGAAAGGGCCUUCUAUCUUUCUAUGUGAGUUUUUAUCUCUGCCGGUGGGACCUUUUCUUUUAAGUAGCGUUUCUACAGAAAUACCCGUUGAAUCUUUAGUGUGAACAGGAAGUCAGAUAUGCUGACUAACUUUUCCUUUAUUUUAAUAGCAUUUUUAUUGUUUUGAAAGUGAAGAAGCAAAGGGUGAAAGCGGCCUCCUUGUGCCCAGCAUACAGGCCAUUGCCCGCUGUGUUUCUCGUGUCUCCUGUGUUGAGACUUUGUUUUUUUUGGGGUUUUUUUUUUUUUGCUUUUUAGGGCUGCACCUGCAGCAUAUAGAGGUUCCCAGGCUAGGGGUCGAAUCAGAGCUACAGCUGCCAGCCACAGCCACAGCCACAUCAGACCCAAGCUGCAUCUGCGACCUACACCACAGCUCAUUGGCAACACCAGAUCCUUAACCCACUGAGCAGUUAAGGAAGCCAGGGAUCAAACCCAGAACCUCAUGGUUCCGAGUCAGAUUCGUUUCCGCUGCGCCAUGAUGGGAGCUCUUCAUCUGUAAGCUUUUUAAUAGAUGCAAGUGAACUCAGACUGGAGACCCCGGGACCAUCCCCUGCUUCUGUGGCUUGUCUGGGGGCGUGGGGGUGUCCUGAGGGGCCAGAGCCUUUCAUGUCCAUUGCUCUGGAGCAGGCUUCGGUCAGCGUUGGCUGUGCCUGCCUGGCCACCUGCCUGCAGGAUGUACAGCCGCUCCUGUGAAUGGUGGGGCCCCCAGAAAGGAAGUGGUGAUGUCUGUAGUCAGCUGUGCGUGUGCACAUGUGCCCGUGUGUGCGUGUGCAUCCCUGAACAGUAGUGCACAGGAGAGCUGGAGGAUCGCAUUCCAAGAGGCUUUCAUGGAUUGAGGAGUCUCCGUCCACUCUGCUUAAAGAACUAGUUUUCCAUAUAUCAUCUUAACUGUAUUUUUAGUCAAAUGAUAAAACUCCCCCCCCACACACACACACCCGCCACGCCUUUAGCUUGUGUAGAAUGAUAGUGCACAAGUAAAAAUUCACCCCAACGUCAUCAGUACUGCAGCAUGUUUCCCCGGGAGGCAGUUGCAUGCUCCAUCCGGACCCUGGGUGCUGUAUCCUUGACGAUGUGUACAUGGGCCUCUUCACUGAACCCUUCGUGGGGCACUGUGUGCUCAUGGGGUCCUUUUCUUCACAGUGAGGUUCUGCUCUGGAGUGGGGAUGGCCCAGGCUGGGUGACAUCUCGGAAGCUGUGUCCCUGAUUGCAUCAGUAAGGGUUCUCCAGAGAAACAGAACCAAUGCAGGGGCGGGGGGGGGGGGGGGGGGGGGGGGGUGGGGGUGUAGGUAGAGAGAGGGAGAAAGGAAGACAAGUUUAUUUUAAGGAUUUGUGUCACAUGACGGGGGAGGCUGGCAAGUCCGAAAUCUACAGGGCAGGGUGGAGACUCAGGCCACUUGGAGACAGAAUCCCUCUUUUUAAGGGGAGAUCAGUGGUUUUUUUUUUUUCUACUAAGACCUUUAGCUGAUUGGAUGAGGCCCACCUGUCUUAUGGAGGGUAAUUUGCUUUACUCAGAGUCUCCUGAUUUAAACAGCAAUGCCGGAGUUCCCUUCGUGGCUCAGUGGUUAAUGAAUUCGACUAGGAACCAUGAGGUUGUGGGUUCGCUCCCUGGCCUUGCUCAGUGGGUUAAAGUGGGUUAAGGAUCCGGCGUUGCCGUGAGCUGUGGUGUAGGUUGCAGGCAUGGAUUGGAUCCCACGUUGCUGUGGCCCUGGUGUAGGCCAGCAGCUACAGCUCCGAUUGGACCCCUAGCCUGGGAACCUCCAUGUGCUGCAGAAGUGGCCCAAGAAAUGGCA
rnacentral:lncRNA from 1 species